rnacentral:rRNA from 1 species
AGGGUUUGAUCAUGGCUCAGAUUGAACGCUGGCGGUAUGCUUAACACAUGCAAGUCGAACGGAAACGAAACUAGCUUGCUAGUAGGCGUCGAGUGGCGGACGGGUGAGUAACGCGUAGGAAUCUGCCUGAUAGUGGGGGAUAGCCCGAAGAAAUUCGGAUUAAUACCGCAUAAUCUAUUCGUAGUAAAGUGGGGGACUUUCGAGCCUCACGCUAUCAGAUGAGCCUGCGUAAGAUUAGCUUGUUGGUAGGGUAAAAGCCUACCAAGGCAACGAUCUUUAGCUGGUCUGAGAGGAUGAUCAGCCACAUCGGGACUGAGACACGGCCCGAACUCCUACGGGAGGCAGCAGUGGGGAAUAUUGGACAAUGGGGGCAACCCUGAUCCAGCAAUACCGCGUGUGUGAAGAAGGCCUGAGGGUUGUAAAGCACUUUCAAUUGUGAAGAAAAGUUAACGGUUAGUAACCGUUGACCUUGACGUUAACUUUAGAAGAAGCACCGGCUAACUCCGUGCCAGCAGCCGCGGUAAUACGGAGGGUGCAAGCGUUAAUCGGAAUUACUGGGCGUAAAGCGUGCGUAGGCGGUUUAUUAAGUCAGAUGUGAAAGCCCCGGGCUUAACCUGGGAACUGCAUUUGAAACUGGUCAACUAGAGUAUGGUAGAGGAAAGUGGAAUUUCUGGUGUAGCGGUGAAAUGCGUAGAUAUCAGAAGGAAC